GUAAGAACUGAAAUGUUGACCGGAUUGUUAAUUUCAUCAGGUAAGUUUUAAUCCAAAAAUGAAUUCAGUUUACAAUCUGGUCAACGUUUCAGUUCUUAC